rnacentral:rRNA from 1 species
UAGAGUUUGAUCAUGGCUCAGAUUGAACGCUGGCGGCAGGCCUAACACAUGCAAGUCGAGCGGAAACGACAUUAUUGAAUCUUCGGAGGAUUUAAUGGGCGUCGAGCGGCGGACGGGUGAGUAAUGCCUAGGAAAUUGCCUUGAUGUGGGGGAUAACCAUUGGAAACGAUGGCUAAUACCGCAUAAUGCCUACGGGCCAAAGAGGGGGACCUUCGGGCCUCUCGCGUCAAGAUAUGCCUAGGUGGGAUUAGCUAGUUGGUGAGGUAAUGGCUCACCAAGGCGACGAUCCCUAGCUGGUCUGAGAGGAUGAUCAGCCACACUGGAACUGAGACACGGUCCAGACUCCUACGGGAGGCAGCAGUGGGGAAUAUUGCACAAUGGGCGAAAGCCUGAUGCAGCCAUGCCGCGUGCAUGAAGAAGGCCUUCGGGUUGUAAAGUACUUUCAGUCGUGAGGAAGGGUGUGUAGUUAAUAGCUGCGCAUCUUGACGUUAGCAACAGAAGAAGCACCGGCUAACUCCGUGCCAGCAGCCGCGGUAAUACGGAGGGUGCGAGCGUUAAUCGGAAUUACUGGGCGUAAAGCGCAUGCAGGUGGUUCAUUAAGUCAGAUGUGAAAGCCCGGGGCUCAACCUCGGAACUGCAUUUGAAACUGGUGAACUAGAGUGCUGUAGAGGGGGGUAGAAUUUCA